GGCGGAGACACAAAGUCGGGGAAAGCAGAUUUAAACCAAGUCUGAGACGUUGCCUCUGUUUGCCAGUACUGUGCCAAAACGUCGUUACCGAGGAGGUCUGGAUGCUAAAACAAACUCUGGAGCUGCUUUUUUGUUGAACAAGAGUGAGACUAGACGCAGGACACACCUGCGGCGUGAAGGUUUACUCAGCUGCUGCAGUCUGGACAGAAACACCAGCUCUCACCUUACAAACAGGUGUCACCAUUUCAUCCACGAUUACAGUGUGUCUUGGUACAGUGAAGAAGAUCUUUGAAACCAGGACUGAAUCUUCCAGGAUUCAAACUUCAACCAUUAAAUCACUGAGAGAAGAGACAGAUGUGAGGACGUUUCCAGAAGGUCUUCAGCUGCUGUCAUCUUCUCCAGCAGAGACAAGAACAUGUGUUAAUCACAGAAACUGAUCAAUUAAUCUGUUUCUUCUUACUUAAUUACAAUAAUUUAAACUUAACUUUUCUCAGUAACACAUUGUGUAUGUUUUUAUGAUUAUCAUAGUCACAAUGAUGAUUAGAAAUAGUCCUGAAAUUUUAUAUAAAUUAAUAACCUAUUGUAAUGAUUACAGUUAUCUCUCAAAUUUCACAGAGACAGAUAAACAUAAACCAUGCAAUAAAUACAACAAAAUAAAACUGUCUACUGCACAGACAUUACAGAAGUUUCUGACGCCUUACUUUACAAUGACAUGUGGCUUAAGACAAAGGUAGUGUCUUAAAGCAGUCAUUUUGGCAUUUUGCUAUUUCAAACAGUGCAAUAUCAGUACUCAGAUCCAGUCUAUUACUGUGUUCAUGGUCCUGUUUAUUUAUAUCACGCUAUUUCCUAUUUCUGCUGCUGCAACACUGAAUUUCCCCACUGUAGGACUAAUAAAAGAUUAUAUUACCAGUCUGUUUAAUAUUGUAUAAAAGUGAAUAUUUUUAGCCAGAUGUUAGGAGUACUAUGACAUUUUAACACCUAACUAUACUAUGACAUUGUUUUUACAUUCAUGAUAUUUUGUAAAAAUAUUCACUUUGUAAAUUUCCCCAUUGUGGGACUAAUAAAGGAUUAUCUUUUACUGUGUAAUGCAUUUGGUUUUUGGCACCUUAGAUACUGUGACAUUUUCACCUUAUUGUUAGAUUGCUAUUACUUGUGCAUCACUUUUACUGAUUACUUUUACUAUAAAUUUUUCACUACAAAAAUGACCCGCUGCCUGUCGCAGACAUCAAAAAUUGUGGUGUCAACUUUGUCAAAGAAUUCACUCAAAACCUGUCCAAAUCCACUUGAAAUAACAUAAAACAUGCCCCUGACUAAGUUUUACAUACCCCUGAGUAAUUUUUAGGUGAUAAAUCUAGACCUGAAAUUUUGACCUUUUUUCACUCCAAACGAUGACCCGCCGCCUGUCGCAGACAUCAAAAAUUGUGGUGUCAACUUUGUCAAAGAAUUCACUCAAAACCUGUCCAAAUCCACUUGAAAUAACAUAAAACAUGCCCCUGAGUAGUUUUUAGGUGAUAAAUCUAGACCUGAAAUUUUGACCUUUUUUCACUCCAAACGAUGACCCGCCGCCUGUCGCAGACAUCAAAAAUUGUGGUGUCAACUUUGUCAAAGAAUUCACUCAAAACCUGUCCAAAUCCACUUGAAAUAACAUAAAACAUGCCCCUGAGUAGUUUUUAGGUGAUAAAUCUAGACCUGAAAUUUUGACCUUUUUUCACUCCAAACGAUGACCCGCCGCCUGUCGCAGACAUCAAAAAUUGUGGUGUCAACUUUGUCAAAGAAUUCACUCAAAACCUGUCCAAAUCCACUUGAAAUGUUGUGAUGUGUUCUAUCUGUAUUUGCUGCUGGAAACGUAAUUUCCCCGAGGUAGUCAUCCCAAAGGGAUCAAUAAAGUCUAAGUCUAAGUCUAAUUUACUUUUAAUACAGAUUAUUAAUACAUUACUACAUUAUUAUUUUGUUUCAGAUUAUUUCUAUUAGUACAUUGUUGGUACUUGAGUUACAUGGUUUUUGUUUAGCUCUGUGACAUUUGAGAGACAGUUCAAGUAUCUCUGUCUUUCAUAAUUAUAUUUUUAUAACUUUAUAAAUUGUUUGUUGAGAUGAGGUUUCAGAAAUAUAA